GGAUUAGAUACCCUGGUAGUCCACGCCGUAAACGAUGGAUACUAGGUGUUGCGGGUAACCACUCCUGCAGUGCCGUAGCUAACGCAUUAAGUAUCCCGCCUGGGGAGUACGGCCGCAAGGCUAAAACUCAAAGGAAUUGACGGGGGCCCGCACAAGCGGUGGAGCAUGUGGUUUAAUUCGAUGCAACGCGCAGAACCUUACCUAGGCUUGAACUGUGGCGGACUGCUUGGGAAACAAGGCUUUCCCUUCGGGGACUGCUACAGAGGUGCUGCAUGGCUGUCGUCAGCUCGUGCCG
rnacentral:rRNA from 1 species